rnacentral:rRNA from 1 species
AUUGAACGCUGGCGGCAUGCCUUACACAUGCAAGUCGAACGGCAGCACGGGAGCAAUCCUGGUGGCGAGUGGCGAACGGGUGAGUAAUAUAUCGGAACGUGCCCAGUCGUGGGGAUAACGUAGCGAAAGCUACGCUAAUACCGCAUACGAUCUAUGGAUGAAAGCGGGGGAUCGCAAGACCUCGCGCGAUUGGAGCGGCCGAUAUCAGAUUAGGUAGUUGGUGAGGUAAAGGCUCACCAAGCCGACGAUCUGUAGCUGGUCUGAGAGGACGACCAGCCACACUGGGACUGAGACACGGCCCAGACUCCUACGGAGGCAGCAGUGGGAAUUUUGGACAAUGGGCGCAAGCCUGAUCAGCAAUGCCGCGUGCAGGAUGAAGGCCUUAGGGUUGUAAA